rnacentral:rRNA from 1 species
UACAGAGGGGGCAAGCGUUGUUCGGAUUCAUUGGGCGUAAAGGGUGUGUAGGUGGCGCCGUAAGUCGGGUGUGAAAUUUCGGAGCUUAACUCCGAAACUGCAUUCGAUACUGCGGUGCUUGAGGACUGGAGAGGAGACUGGAAUUCAUGGUGUAGCAGUGAAAUGCGUAGAGAUCAUGAGGAAGACCAGUGGCGAAGGCGGGUCUCUGGACAGUUCUUGACACUGAGACACGAAGGCCAGGGGAGCAAACGGG